rnacentral:lncRNA from 1 species
GCAAAGUGCUAUUCCAAACAGAUAUAACUUCAUCUUAACUUUGACAUUUUACAGAUACCUUCCAAUUUUUUUUUUUUGAGAUGGAGUCUUGCUCUGUCGCCCAGGGUGGAGUGCAGUGGCAUGAUUUUGGCUCACUGCAACCUCCACCUCCUGGGUUCAAGCGAUUGUCCGGCCUCAGCCUCAUGAGUAGCUGGGACUACAGGCGCCCGCCACCACGCCUGGCUAAUUUUUUGCAUUUUUAGUAGAGACGGAGUUUCACGAUGUUAGCCAGGAUGGUCUUGAUCUCCUGACCUCAUGAUCCACCCGCCUCAGCCUCCCAAAGUGCUGGGAUUACAGGCGUGAGCGACCAUGCCCAGUCCCAAAUAUUUUUAAAAUUGCAAAUGACAAAGUCAAUGGGGUUCAAAACUAAAUUCUUAAACUAAGUAAGGAGAUAACAGACAACAUUUAAAUUUGUCUUUGGAAAACAACUAUGAAAUAUUACCAUUUUCUCCUAUCAGAUCAAGUCAGUAUUUCAUUCUGAAAGCAAUGUAUUAACAUGUGAUUUUAUGAAAUAAUCAAGGUAUAGGCAAGCUCUCUUGCGGAGCAUACACAUUAACUCAGGAUCAUCCUCAUUGCUGUUUUUUUUCCCCCAGCACUUGUGAGGCCUUGUAGGGGACAGUGGAUUAAAUAGCCUUCAGGGUCAAAACAGUUCCUUGACAUUUGGAUUUUAAACUCCUGGUAAUUAAAAUUGAUUGCAUAAUUUACUCCUAUUACAGGUGUGACACACUGUGAGAUUCAGGAUUAUAAUUCUUUGGACUUAAAAUGGUUGGAAACAAGCUGGGGGAUCUGGACUUUUUCUUCCCUCCAUGCCUUCCCUCUUCAAUCUGAAGACUCAGAAAUUAUCCCAAACCAUAGAAAAGUGGAGUAUUUGAGAAUGAAUAAACUUAUAAUCCAAUGAGUAGAUUUCUAAUUAUUAUCUAUAAAGAGAUGAAGAGCAGUGGAUAGUGGAACAAGAAUUAACACAGGGAGAAAGGAAUCUCACCUUUAGAAUAUCUCUAGGAUAAUAUUUUUCAGACAACUGACUCCCUCCAAUCCUCUUUUGGGUAAUGAUAAAACUAAAUGUCUGAUCUGCAAAGAAAACUCUCACCAGAGACCUGCUGAUUCAAGAAUUCAGUUCCUGCCCAAUUGGAAUACUGCCAACAUUUUUCCAACCUAACAGGAAUGCGUCUGCAGUCUAAGUAAGAGCUUCUUCUCUGAAGGUAAAAGACGGGAAGUUUUGGUGUUGUUGACAUUUCAGUGAGUGCUGCCAACAUCUGGCAUACUAGAAUUGAUCUAC